rnacentral:rRNA from 1 species
UACGUAGGCAGCAAGCGUUGUUCGGAAUUACUGGGCGUAAAGAGUUCGUAGGCGGUGCGGCAAGUUCGGUGUGAAAUCUCCCGGCUCAACUGGGAGGGUGCGCUAAAUACUGCCGUGCUCGAGUAUAGGAGAGGUAAGCGGAAUUCCUGGUGUAGCGGUGAAAUGCGUAGAUAUCAGGAGGAACACCUGUGGUGUAGACGGCUUACUGGACUAUAACUGACGCUGAGGCGCGAAAGCGUGGGGAGCGAACGGA